GCCAAUCUGCUGUUACCCACUGCUUAGGGUUAGGCUGGGAUUUGGGUUAGUGACUUGGGCUUGUAAUGGGUUUGGGCUUUAGGCUUAGUUGGGCCCGGGCAAAAUUUAGGUCUUACAGUUGCCCCUCUUUGCUCGUUGUCGUGUAACGAGAACAGAGCAAAGACUUUAAAAUGACCAAUUUUGCCCAGUCGUUCUGGACCUUGGCACUUCUCUUCUUCUUCAAAUAGCCUCAUUCCUUCCUACUGCAUCAUUAGGGUAUAGGAAUUGGUGCUUCGAUCCACUCCACUGCAACGCCAGAGAGAUAGGAUUUGAUACCUUAUAGCUUCUCAAAAGAACAAAACUUGCAAUCUCUAAUCUGCUCCACCGUAACUUCAAGGAGAUAAGACUCGUAGCUUCAACUUAUUCUGCUGCAACUUCAAAGAUGAGUUUGAUACGAUCCGCUCUACUGCAAUUUCAGAGAGAUAAGAUCCGUGGUGUUAAUCCGCUCUAUUGCAACUUCAGGGAAAUAAGAUUAUCUUCUUCAAUUUAUUCAAUUACAAUGUCAAGGAAACAAGAUCCGCCGUCGUAGCUUCAAUCUGUUCAACUGCACAGCUAAGGAGGUAAGAUCCGUCGUUGUGGCCUCUAUCUUUUUAAUUGCGCUGUCGGGGAAACCAGAUCCGCCGUUGUGACUUCAAUCUGCUUCACUACACCGCCAGGGAAGUAAGAUCCAUCGUUAUGGCUUCAAUAUUUUUAAUUGCGCUGUUGGGGAAACCAGAUCCACCGUUGUGACUUCAAUCUGCUCUACUGCACCGCCAGGGAAGUAAGAUCCGCCGUUGUGGCUUCAAUCUUUUUAAUUACGCUGUCGAGGAAACCAGAUCUGCUGUUGUGACUUCAAUCUGCUCCAUUGCACCGCCAGGGAAGUAAGAUCCGCCAUUGUGACUUCAAUCUUUUUAAUUGCGCUGUCGAGGAAACCAGAUCUGCCGUUGUGACUUCAAUCUGCUCCACUGCAUCGCCAGGGAAGUAAGAUCUGCCGUUGUGGCUUCAAUCUUUUUAAUUGCGCUGCCGAGGAAACCAGAUCUGCCGUUGUGACUUCAAUCUGCUCCACUGCACCACCAAGGAAGUAAGAUUCGCUGUUGUGGCUUCAAUCUUUUUAAUUGCGCUAUUGGGGAAACCAGAUUCGCCGUUGUGACUUCAAUCUGCUCCACUGCACCACCAGGGAAGUAAGAUCCACCGUUGUGGCUUCAAUCUUUUUAAUUGCGCUGUCGGGGAAACCAGAUCUGCCGUUGUGACUUCAAUCUGCUCCACUGCACCGCCAGGGAAAUAAGAAUCUGCUAUUUUCAACCUACUCCAUUGCUGUUCAAGAAGAUAAGGCUGAAGUUUUAUUGGUUUGUUCUCUAGGGAACAUGACCUGUAAAAUUCAAAUUAUGAACCUAAUUAUGCCUAGUGAUUAGGAUGUCAUGAUCAAAAUGAAUCAAAUGCUCCUGACUAGACGUGCGAAUGACAUUUGAAUGCAGAAUGUCAUUUUUUGAGAAUGAUCCCUCUUUAAAGCUUAGGUUGUCAUUACUCAAAGUUUAUUGAAACUGUAUUACUGACGCACUAGAACGUCCUCUUGCUCAACUAGCAUCUCCAAAGAAACACUUAAUCAACCUGCACCCACUGUAAACUUCAAAGUUCAAUCUACUGGGAUGCAACAUUGGUACCAUAUUUCUCCCACUGUAACCCAAUGGUAGAAAAAUCUGGUCUUUUCUCAAUCCUCUCCUAUCGCAAUUCAAGGCUAUAGAAUGUGAAACUCUUUGGUUCUUUACACCAUUUCUAAGGUGUCAUACCAAAUGCUCAUGCACAAAUAAAUGAUUUCUUCUCCGAGUAACCUCUUCCUAUUGCUUGGUGAUCAUUUUUCGCUUGUUCAUUGAACCCUUAUCAUCGACACGACAUCUUGUCAUUUCGUUCAAUCAAUGUUUUGACAACAAAAUCUGAAGGGAUAGUCUCAAUUUAGACUUUUCCUUCCUAAAUAUUUCAACCUUUAAACUUGGUGCUUUCUAAACAAUAGUCCUGUUUCAGGUUACCGUAUUAUUUAGAAACUUCUAGAGUAAUAUGCAAAACUUCCCUUGUGAAAGUUUUAUUAGUCCAUUGAUCAUUAUUCUAAUACAACAAGCUUGCAAAAAGAACGAAACAAUGGAUGGAAUGGAAUUGAUUUGAGAACGUAGCUUGAAAUGAAUAGAAUAUCAAAGAUAGUAAAAAAAUAAAAGAAGAAUGGAUUGGGAACACGUAUCUUGAAAAAGAAUGAAGUAUUCCAAGAACAAACAAUUCGAUAAAAAUAGUAUGAAAACUAGGUGCCCCAGAUAUCGCAGCUUGAACUUCUCUGUACAGACUUCCUGAAUACCAUUCUGAGUUUGACAUGUGCUUAGGAGAUCUACAAUACUCUGUCCAUGCUCCAAGAUGUCGUGUACCCCUUUCCUGCUGAUUCAGGCAUAGCAAGAUCACCACAUGCCCCAAUCUGAUCAAAAUUUGAGCUACUCUUAUUACCUCAUGCCCCAUUUUGAUCAAUAUUUGAGCCGCCAUUUUUGGGUUUUCUACUCAAAUCCACUUUUGGUCUAAGGCACCCUUUGCGGGUUUUCACCUUAGCCUCUCCAUUUUUACUUUUUCCAUUUUUCAUUUUUCAUUUUUCAUUUUUUAUUUUUCUAUUUUUAUUUUUUCACAUCCCUUUUCCUUCUUUUUUUUUGUUUUUUGUGACUCAAAGUGCCCUUUGCGGGUUUUUAUCUUGGUCCUCUCCUUCUUUAAGCGAAGUAUUUCUUGACUGGUUCUAAGUUUACAGGAUUAGAUAAGUUUUUACUAUCCAUCUCACUCAAAAUCAGUGCUCCUCCAGAAAAGGUCUUCUUUACAACAUAAGGACAUUCCCAAUUUGGCACUCAUUUUUCUCUAAAAUCCUUUUGUAGAGGAAGGAUCUUUUUCAAUAUCAGGUCUCCCUCGUGAAAUUCUUUGAGACGAACCCCCUUUUUUGUUGUAAGCUCGCAGCAUCCAUUUUUAGUACAUCUGGCCAUGACGAAUAGCUUUUAGCCUAUUUCCUUCAAUUAAGUUCAACUGAUCUUAUCGAGUUUGGAUCUUCAUCCUACUUCAGCUCAGCAAAUACCCGAAGAGAAAAAAUUUUAACUUUAAUGGAAAAAUCGUGAUAAGCUAAAGAGAAAGACAUUGCCCCGGUAGAGGUUUUUUUGUUUUUUGUUUUUUGUUCUUCUUUGUUCUCUUUUUUUCUUUUCUCUUUUUUUUUGCAUUGAAUCCGCACUCAUAGUAUUAGGCAAGUCCUGGUUAUCCUUUUCGAUCAGAAUCAAUAUUAUUCCAGUUAAGGUCUUCCCCAUAAGAUCUUCUACUUUUAUUUUGUAUGCGAAAGAUCUUCUUUGGCACCAGGUUUCUCUCAUAGAGCCUUUUGGGGCGAAAUUUAACUAUGACGAGAAAAUUUUAGAUCUUCCUAUUCAAUUAAGAUGAAAUCCAAAAAAUACGAAAAAAUGACAAUUUGACUUCAACUAGUUAAGCCAGAGAAGAAGGUAUUGCCCCGGUAAAGAACUCUAACUGUAUCGUUCAUGAUGUGAAUCUUGAACAUACUGCAAAUUUUUAACGUGCUAUUGCUCAGAUUACAAUAUCAAUGCUUAACCUGGGCAUAUCCUGGUAUAACCAUACGAAGACAUCUUUGAACUCUUGAAGUAACUUAACAAAGUCUUGCUUCAUUUCUCUGGUUAUGCAUGUUCUCUUAAAGUCACAAUCUCCAUUGUCUCUUCAAGAGGAAAUAUUUGUUCUCUUCUUGCUCUACCAUCCUUAACAAGUCUGGUGAUAAACUACGAUCUAUGUCAUCUUCAAAGUCAUGAGAUCCUUCUAAACACAUGUCUUGCUCAAAAGGAGAUUAAGAGUCUGUAGCAGUGUCACUCAUGUCAUUGAUAUCCAGGGACCUAUUGUAGGUACCAAGGAAUAUACAAAGAAUGUAUGAAUUUAUGAAUAAUUAUUUGUACAACAUGAUUAUGAAUGAAUGAAUGAAUGAUUUAGAAGAAAAAUCUAAAAGAAUGAAAGAAUUGUAAAUAAUAAAAGAAUAUUAGCUCAAAAAAUAAUCACAAUGAUGUAUUAAAAUAAUAACUUUCAGACAUUAGCCUAUUUCACAAAGGUGUUCUUAUCACUUCUAGGCUAAAAGCAAUAAGAGUAUUCUGAACAUUAUUCUGAGUAAGCUCUAAAACUACAGGAAUUUCCUCCGCAAUCCAAUUAUUUAGAACAUCUCUAAGUUGAUAAGGGUGAAUAUCUAACAAGGACCCUUUUCAAUUGUGUCUUCAUAUAUGACAUUGAUGUGAACAUUUCCCAACACUUCUUCAUACAUUACAUUCACCCCAUUAUUAAUCAUGAUUGGGUAGCGGAUUUUCUACACUCGAUGAAUCCUCAAAUCUAACAAUGUCCAUAUUGAUGAGCCUUUCAACCAAUUUCUUGAAAGCGAUGCAAUUUUCUAUCGAAUGCCCCGCAAUUCCUGCAUGGUAUUCACACUGAGCAUUUGCAUUAUACCAUUUAGGAAAUGGGGGCAACAUUGGUUUCAAAUAGAAGGGGACACCACAUGUGAAUUAAAUAGGUUUUGAUAUAGCUCGCUAUAUGACAUCGGUAUAGGCGUAAACUGAGGCCCUUCUGUAUUUAUCUUCGUAUAAGAUUCUUGCUUUAAAGGGCCCUGAUAGCUGGUAGUCUUCGUCUUUGGCCGACCCAUAGUGAUUGGUUUUGAGUAGCCCCUGUUAUAUCUGCCUACAUUAUCCCCCUUAUUCCUUGAGGCCUUUAAAGUAUUGAUUUGAGAGUUCCACUCUCGCCCUUUCCGUUUGUAACGAUCUUCAAAUUGUUUUGGGAACGCCACCCUCGCAUGUUCUGUUUCUGCUUGAUCAUUAGUUAAAUUGCCCAUCGAGUUAGAACCUGAGCCAGUCUGGAAAUUCACCGGUGUCGAGGUGCUGGUCUGAUAUUCGGGUCGGAUGUUAACAAUUACCAUUUGUGGAUAUGCAUUUGGUUGUGCUUGGGUAUUUUUUAGGGUGAAGUUUGAAGGAUAUGUAAGGUCCUCAUUAUUAUCCCCAAAGUAGACCACUGGGGUCUUUCCUCUUUCUAAUCCUUUAGCCAAUAACUGGGUUAACUGGCACAUUAUAUUUCUUUGGAAUUCUAACAACUGAUCUCUCAUAUCUUGCUGAAAUUUGGUCAAUUGCUCCUGUAUCCGCACUUGCAUUUGCUCUAAUUUCUUCAACCUUUAGUCCAUUUCUCUAGUCUUUGCUUGGAUGCCGUGAGGGUGUUGGUUUUCUAAAUUAACUGAAAUAAUUUUACUCAAUUAGGCUUUUUAAAUAGAUUUUAAUGUAUAUGAUGUCAUGUAAUGUGAAUGCAUGAAAUGAAUGCAUAAAGAGACGUUGACUCUGAUUCAAUUCCAUUUAGAAAACUUCACUAGAAGACAAACUUCUUUACAUAAAACGGAUGCAUGUACGGCCUCGCCCUCAUACUCCAAGAAACAUCGACUUCUUACUUCGUCUGGAUGUUUAAGAUAAAUCUCGCAAAUCCUUCAAAAGGGGUAUCUCCUCUACCUCCUUUUUGCUUGAUCCUGGUUAUAAUCCAACGUCUGCCCAUCCCCGUAAUGCUCCUCAACUUCUUUAAAGUAGUUGGAAUGUCAGAAACUCUUGAAUAAUCAGCUUGACCUUGAGGCACGAAAUAAAGUCAUGUAUUCCUCCAUCACCCUUCUUGCGUUUCUUGGAAUAUAUUCAGGCAGCCAUAUUAUCUUUCACUUUAUCAAGAAACCCAUCUCCCACGAUAAAACUUUCUAUCUAGCAACCGAAUAUGAAACAACGCCUCUUUAUAAUGGAAUGCCAUGUAAUUGUAAUGCCAUGCAAUCAGAGUAAAACAUAAAAAGUCAGUAACAAUUAAAUACAAUACAACCAAGAAAUAGUAAAAACUCCUAAUUAGGUGUCUACUAAGGUUCAAAGUAAUUCUACCUAGGGUGGGUUCCUAAAGCUCACUAUAUGAGGUUUUGGGUUCUAGAGAAAGAGUACCCGAACCAGCAGAUUCCUCGAUCCUCACCCAUUAUAGGCUUAUAUGGACCAAGUUCGGUUCAGGGGAAUACAUUUCCUUAUGGCUGCACGGAGAUGAAAAUCUCACGAAGACAUAGGUACAGAUGUAUUCCGAAAGCGAUCCACUAUCCUGCACGGAGGUGAAAACCUCACGAAGGACUAGUUUCUCACUCCCACUUAAAGGGGUAAAAUUGACCAUGCAAUGUAAAAUGCAAAUAAACUAACGGACUUAGAUCAAUCAAGCAAGCAUAUGAUAAAACCAAUGAAUGCAAAUGGGAAAAUCAUGAUUUAAAAAAACUUUAAUUUUCGAUAAAAAGACAAAAUAAUCAAUUUAUGGCUCGACCCUCUAAGCUCCCCUGUGGAGUCGUCAAGCUGUCGAAACCAUUUUUUUGAAAAACAAAAAUAAGUUAUCGACUUUAAAAACAAAAAUUGGGGUCGCCACCGAUCCUUGAUUGAGGUGUGAUCGGUUCACCUUAAAAAAUGAUUUUGGUCUACGAACUUUGAGAAAACAGGCUCGGGAGUCAGUUACGCACGAGGAAGGAUUAGCACCCUCGUAACGCCCAAAUCGGUACCAAAUUGAUUAUUUAAUAUCUUAGUGUCGAAAAUUUAAAAAGAUUUUAAAAGAAAACGUUUUAACAUGUGAAUGAAUUAAAAAAAAUAAGUCAUCCUAAUUUCAAAUAAAUAAAACAUCACACCCAGUGAGUUAAGGCACAAUAUUUUUUAAUCUUCAAAAUCAAGUUUAUCUCUUGAUUUUAAAAAUUCUUAUUUCGAGAAAAUAAAAUGUCAUGACCAAUAAGUUAGGACCCGGCAUUUUUGGAUUCCCGAGAAUAAGCUUUUAUUUGAAGAUUGUGAAUUUAUUGCAAAAUAAAUACUUGACUUCCUAAAUUCCUCGAAAAAUGAUCACAAUCCAGUAAGUUAGGACACGAUCUUUCUCGAGAACCAUGAAUGUCAAAUAUUUAAAAUUAAAAAAAAAACGAUUUUAAUGCUUUGACGAAACCAAAAUAUAUUUUUCUUUAAAAGUAUGAUAAAAUGUUAAUGCAUAACAAGAAACCAAUACUUUAAUUUAAACUAUAUGUGUAUAUGCAUUAUAAAAUGUCAAUACAUGUAUAUAUACAUGUAAACAAAAAUUAUGAAAAUAAAAUAAAAUAUAAACAUGUACAUGUAUUUACAAAAAUAAAAAAAUGCAUAAGUACAAUAUAUUAGUAAAUUAUGAAAAUAUAAAAAUAUAUGUAUAUAAAAAAUACGAAAAAUAUAUUUAUAAUAAUUUUGAAUAGUGUAUAAAUAUAUAUACAUAUAUAUAUGUAUAUUAUAUAACAAAAUGUAUAUAUAUGUGGAUUAUAAAAUAUGGAAAGUGUAAAAAAAUAUAAAUGUAUAUGCGUACAUAUAUAUAUACAUAAAAACUAAGAAAAUAAAAUAAUAAUAAAAUAUAAAAUAUAUAUAUGUAUUUUUAAAAAACGUUUUAAAAUAUAUACAUAUAGGUACAUUAACAUACAUAUGCGUGUAUAUAUGUAGGUAUAAUAAAAAUAUAUAAUAUAUAAUAAUAAUAAUAUAAUAAUAAUAAUAACAACUAUAUUAAUAAAAUAAACUAAAAAAAACUUAAAAUGAAAGAUUAUGGAUUAAAUUGAAAAUAAUUGAAGUUUCAGAGGUAAAUCUGAAAUAAACAAAACACUAAUGGAUCAAAUAGAACACACAGUUAACAGUGGAGGACCGAAAGUGAAAUUAAUCCUUCCGUCCAAAACUCCGCGCAGCAAUGGAUUAAAAUAAAACAAAUUCAACAUUUCAUGGAAAAAUUUGAAAACAAACCAUAAUGAUUUUGAAAUGAUGGGAUAAAAUGGAAGGAUUAAAAACGUAAAUAACCCAUCAGUGCUUAAAACCCUUUUCAAUCUCAAAUUAAAGCCCUAUUCUACAGCAGCAAUAGGCGCAAGAAUGGUUUCAUCUUCUUUUAUUCUUUUUUAAAACAACAGAGGAAAGAAAAGGGAAAUCUGCUAGGUUUUCUUUAAAGCCCUAGCUACCACCACGUCGCCGCCGUCAAAACUCCGCCGCCGACUCCGAUUCAAGUAAGUUCCGUCCUUUUCUUUUUCUUUUUUUUUUGUUUUUGCACAAAAACAGAGAAUCAAAGAAAUAAAUAAAUAAAAUACAAAGAAAAUCACCUUCAAAAUCAACUGCUGUAUUCUUAUUAUUUUUGUUUUUGUAUUUCGUUGUACCCUGAUUUCUUUCUCUAUUUCUUGUUUCAAUCUAAAAAAUCCUAUUCGCUUUUUUUUUUAAAGUUUUUUCUCUUUUCCUCCCCCCCUUCUGCUAUUCUAGCCUCUUUUUAUUUGUUGUAUUGCUAUUCAUCAUUUGCAGGUGGAAUCGGCGCAACUACUAAUCGUGGGUGAAGCGACGUGGGUGAUGGGCGGUUGCUGCAACGUGAGGACAACGUGCGGCGCCAAUCUGCUGUUACCCACUGCUUAGGGUUAGGCUGGGAUUUGGGUUAGUGACUUGGGCUUGUAAUGGGUUUGGGCUUUAGGCUUAGUUGGGCCCGGGCAAAAUUUAGGUCUUACACAUAAAAUUAUGAAAAUGUGAAAAAUCUAUGUACGUAAAAAUAUAUGUAAAUAUGUAUGUGUACAUUUAUGUAUAUGUAUAAAGUUAUGAAAUAUAUAAAAUAUAAAGGUAGGUAUAUGUAUAUGUUUUUAUAAAAAUAAAAAACGUACAUAUAUAUUAUGUGCAUAUAUGCAUUAUAAAAUAUAUAAAAAUAUAUGUAUACAAGGAUAUAUAAAUAAAUAAGAUAUAAAGUAUAUAGAUAUGGAAAUUAAAAAUACGUAUAUAAAGAUAUAUAUAAAUAAUAUAAGGUAUAAGAUAUAAUGUAUAUAAGUAUGUAUUUAUGAAAAUUAAAAUAUAUAUAUAGACGUGCAGCUAUAUACAUAAAAUAAUAAAAGAUAAAUGUGUAUAUAUAUUCAUAAAAAUAAAAUGUGUAUUCGUAUAUUAAAG
rnacentral:lncRNA from 1 species